UUUUGCUAAAUUUUGUAUAUUGUUAUCAAGAAAUGAGAAGAUUGUAGUGUAUUAGUGUUCUUGUUUUGCUAAAUUUUGUAUAUUGUUAUCAAGACAAUGAGAAGGUCGAUAGUGUUAUUAGUUGUUUUUGUUUCUCCUCUAUUUUGUAUUUUGAAUAGAUAGAUUCGAUAGAUAAGUUAUGUCUUAUUAGUGUUCUUGUUCGCUAAUUUUUGAUAUUUGUCAAAGAAAUGAGAAGAUUGAUAGUGUUAUUAGUUUCUUGUUUUGCUAAAUUUGUCGUUAGUUGGUUGUAUAUAGAUUAAUUGAGAAGAUUGAUAUGUUAUCAGUGUCUGUGUUGUUGCUAAUUUGGGUAUAUUGUUUCAAGAAUAGCAAGAUGAUAGUUUUAUUAGUGUUUCUUGUUUCUAAUUUUGUAUAUUGCUAUAUAAAUUGAAGAUCGAUGUGUUAUUAGUGUUCUUGUUUUGCUAAUUUUCUAGUAUGUUCAAAGAAAUGAAAAGAUUGAUAGUGUUAUUAGUGUUCUUGUUUUGCUAAAUUUUGUAUAUUGUUAUCAAAGAAAUGAGAAGAUUGAUAGUGUUAUUAGUGUUCUUGUUUUGCGUAAAUUUUGUAUAUUUGUUAUCAAGGAAUGAGAAGAUUGAUUAGUGUUUUAUUAGUGUUCUGUUUUGGCUAAAUUUUGUAUAUUGUUUAUUUCAACUGAAUGGAAGAUUGAUAGGGUUUUUAGUGUUUUGUUUUGCUAAGUUUUGUAUAUUGGUUAUCAUGCAAUACGAGAAGAUGAUAGUGUUAUUAGUGUUCUUGGUUUUGCUAAAUUUUGUAUAUUGUUAUCCAAGAAAUAGAAGAUUGAUAGUGUUAUUAGUGUUCUUGUUUUUCGCUAAGUUUUGUAUAUUGUUAUAAAAAAAUGAGAAGAUUGAUAGUGAUAUUAGUGUUCUUGUUUUUGCUAAAAUUUUGUAUAUUGUAUCAAGAAAUGAGAAGUUGAUAGUGUUAUUAGUGUUCUUGUUUGCUAAAUUUUGUAUAUUGUUAUCAAAAUGAGAAGAUUGAUAGUGUUAUUAGUGUUCUUGUUAUCAAGAGAACAUUUUAAUGCUGACCUUUACCAACAAUCUCCCAAAAAUGAAAGGAUUGCCAUGGCGGAAUUCUCCAUUGGCUUCUUUUAGUCAAAUAGAGAUAUUGGAAAUCACAACUAGGAGCGAUGUAAGCCAUGACGCACUGUUCGUUGGAAUUUUAUGAUGGUUCAAAGGCCCCACCCGCUGCUUCCUAUAUCCGUACGCACAUCUUUAGGACUCUCAGUUACGUAGUUUGAUUUUUUUGGCUUCUUUUUGCUUAGGCAUACUUACCUGUUUAUCUUAUAAGAAAUGAAAGAUUGAUAGAUGUUAUUAGAGUUCUUGUUUUGCUAAAAUUGUGUAUAUUGUUAUCAAGAAAUAGAAGAUUGAUGUGUUAUUAGUGUUCUAGUUUGGCUAAAUUUGUAUAUUGCUUAUACGAAAUGAGAAGAUUGAUAGUGUUUAUCUAGUGUUCUUUUUUUUGCUAGAUUUAGGUAUAUUGUUAUCAAGAAAUGAGAAGAUUGAUAGUGUUAUUAGUGUUCUUGUUUUGCUAAAUUUUGUAUAUUGUUAUCAAGAAAUGAGAAGGUCGAUAGUGUUAUUAGUGUUCUUGUUUUCCUAAAUUUUGUAUAUUAUUAUCAAGAAAUGAGAAGAUUGAUAGACUUAUUAGUGUUCUUGUUUCGCUAAUUUUGUAUAUUCUUGUCAAGAAAUGAGAAGAUUGAUAGUGUUAUUAGCGUUCUUGUUUUGCUAAAUUUUGUAUAUUGUUGUCAAGAAAUGAGAAGAUUGAUAAUGUUAUCAGUGUUCUUGUUUUGCUAAGUUUUGUAUAUUGUUAUCAAGAAAUAUGAAGAUCGAUAGUGUUAUUAGUGUUCUUGUUUUGCUAAAUUUUGUAUAUUGCUAUAAAAAAUUAGAAGAUCGAUAGUGUUAUUAGUGUUCUUGUUUUGCUAAAUUUUCUAUAUUGUUAUCAAGAAAUGAAAAGAUUGAUAGUGUUAUUAGUGUUCUUGUUUUGCUAAAUUUUGUAUAUUGUUAUCAAAAAAUGAGAAGAUUGAUAGUGUUAUUAGUGUUCUUGUUUUGCUAAAUUUUGUAUAUUGUUAUCAAGGAAUGAGAAGAUUGAUAGUGUUAUUAGUGUUCUUGUUUUGCUAAAUUUUGUAUAUUGUUAUCA
rnacentral:lncRNA from 1 species